UACGUAGGGUGCAGGCGUUAAUCGGAAUUACUGGGCGUAAAGCGUGCGCAGGCGGUGCACCAAGCUCGAUGUGAAAGCCCCGGGCUUAACCUGGGAAUUGCAUUGAGGACUGGUGUGCUCGAGUGCGGCAGAGGGGGGUGGAAUUCCACGUGUAGCAGUGAAAUGCGUAGAUAUCAGGAGGGACACCGGUGGCGAAGGCGCUCAUCUGGCCCAAUACUGACGCUGAGGCGCGAAAGCUAGGGGAGCAAACGGG
rnacentral:rRNA from 1 species